rnacentral:rRNA from 1 species
GUCCACGCCGUAAACGAUGUCGACUAGCCGUUGGGCCCUUAUUGGGUUUAGUGGCGCAGCUAACGCAUUAAGUCGACCGCCUGGGGAGUACGGCCGCAAGGUUAAAACUCAAAUGAAUUGACGGGGCCCGCACAAGCGGUGGAGCAUGUGGUUUAAUUCGAUGAACGCGAAGAACCUUACCUACCCUUGACAUCCUCAGAAUUUGGCAGAGAUGCCUUAGUGCCUUCGGGAACUGAGAGACAGGUGCUGCAUGGCUGUCGU